GACAGAGGUGGCAAGCGUUGUUCGGAAUUACUGGGCGUAAAGGGCGCGUAGGCGGCCCACCAAGUCAGGCGUGAAAGCCCCGGGCUCAACCUGGGAACGGCGCUUGGGACUGAUGGGCUGGAGUUCGGGAGAGGAGAGUGGAAUUCCUGGUGUAGCGGUGAAAUGCGCAGAUAUCAGGAAGAACACCCGUGGCGAAAGCGGCUCUCUGGAACGGUACUGACGCUGAGACGCGAAAGCGUGGGGAGCGAACAGG
rnacentral:rRNA from 1 species